CAGCCAGUGCGUUACGCAAGCUGUCAGAAUCAGCUGCUUGCGCAAAUCUCGCAAAUUUUGAAGUAAACAAACAAAACAAGUCAUCGCUUGAUCCCAGCCGGCCCGGAACGGCUGUGAAGAGGAUUAUCAACUGGACCGUGAAUUACCGUCACCACCGGCCAAGGCCACCGUCGAUUCUUCGCAGGGCUACUUUUAGUGUAAAAGUGCGGGAUGAUUUGCAGCGGAUUCUUGCACAACCACAAAUAUUCACAUCAAAGAACCGACAAUCCUCAAUCAAAUUCCAUCAUCAGAAUCGCCGAACGCGCUGUCGGUAUCGUUGACCGAGGUCAAGGAACGGAACAAGUAGAAUUGGAGUGUCCGGGAGGAUUUGGUCCAGUUUAAGGUAGCGUUUUCCAAAAUGAUUCGUUUGCGGUGGUGGCCAGGGUAGUGGAUUUCGUGGCUGUGGCUUUAGGACCGGAUGUGCGCAAGAGUAGCCUGCUGGUCAUGUGACGAUGACAUCGACGAUUCCAGGGACACCAACAGGAGCAUCGGUAUUGACGGCCAGAGUCAAAUUCCAUCAUCAGAAUCGCCGAACGCGCUGUCGGUUGCGUUGACCGAGGUCAAGGAACGGAACAAGUAGAAUUGGAGUGUCCGGGAGGAUUUGGUCCAGUUUAAGAGUGUGUUCGGCAAUCGCUUUGACAGAAGUGGUCCGACUGCUGUCGGAGAUUGUGUCCCGCCAGCCGGGCGUCCGGAUCGGGGGGCUCGUUCCAGGCGGACGAUCUUCUAACGAGGAGCCGAUCUUCGAGGUGAAAAUAAGGAUUUGGAACCGCAACUCCUCCAACUGCAACCGCCGGAACUCACGUCACGGGGAGCACCAUGCCACGGAAUCGACGGCGCCCAGCAGUAUCCAGCUGCAGCACGGACAUCAAGGCAGAUUUGUCCUGCCAGAUAAGACAAUUCGACUUAUUCGAAGUAGUAU